UAUUGCACAAUGGGUGAAACCCUGAUGCAGCGACGCCGCGUGAGUGAAGAAGUAUUUCGGUAUGUAAAGCUCUAUCAGCAGGGAAGAUAAUGACGGUACCUGACUAAGAAGCCCCGGCUAACUACGUGCCAGCAGCCGCGGUAAUACGUAGGGGGCAAGCGUUAUCCGGAUUUACUGGGUGUAAAGGGAGCGUAGGUGGCAGGGCAAGUCAGAAGCGAAAGCCCGGGGCUCAACUCCGGGACUGCUUUUGAAACUGUGUGACUGGAGUGCAGGAGAGGUAAGCGGAAUUCCUGGUGUAGCGGUGAAAUGCGUAGAUAUCAGGAGGAACACCAGUGGCGAAGGCGGCUUACUGGACUGUAACUGACGUUGAGGCUCGAAAGCGUGGGGAGCAAACAGG
rnacentral:rRNA from 1 species